AGAUUGAACGCUGGCGGCAUGCUUUACACAUGCAAGUCGAACGGUAACAGGCCGCAAGGUGCUGACGAGUGGCGAACGGGUGAGUAAUGUAUCGGAACGUGCCCAGUCGUGGGGGAUAACGCAGCGAAAGCUGCGCUAAUACCGCAUACGAUCUAUGGAUGAAAGCGGGGGACCGUAAGGCCUCGCGCGAUUGGAGCGGCCGAUAUCAGAUUAGGUAGUUGGUGGGGUAAAGGCUCACCAAGCCAACGAUCUGUAGCUGGUCUGAGAGGACGACCAGCCACACUGGGACUGAGACACGGCCCAGACCUCCGUACGGGAG
rnacentral:rRNA from 1 species